CAGCAGCCGCCGCGGUAAUACGUAGGGUGCGAGCGUUAAUCGGAAUUACUGGGCGUAAAGCGGGCGCAGACGGUUACUUAAGCAGGAUGUGAAAUCCCCGGGCUCAACCUGGGAACUGCGUUCUGAACUGGGUGACUAGAGUGUGUCAGAGGGAGGUAGAAUUCCACGUGUAGCAGUGAAAUGCGUAGAGAUGUGGAGGAAUACCGAUGGCGAAGGCAGCCUCCUGGGAUAAUACUGACGCUCAUGCCCGAAAGCGUGGGUAGCAGACAGGAUUAGAUACCCGGGUAGUCCCUGUCUCUUAUAC
rnacentral:rRNA from 1 species